GUGACCCUAACGUGAUGGGCGGGGCGGCAGGGGAGGAACCAGACUGCGAGCGGAGAAGCGGAGUUUGCAGCCUCGGAAUUGGCUAGAGCGCCAGAGCAGAGUCAGCCAUAAAGCUACGCGCUAGGCUCUUGGCCCUGACGUGAGGCGCGCAGAGAUGACGUAACGGGAAUAGUUUUCAACGUCUGUUUCAUUCCCUGCUUCAGAGGACCUCUUUAAUCUUUGAUUUUGGUCCCUGUUUCUAAGAAAAGCAACUGAAAAGGUCGUAAUACCGCCCCUGAGAAAAAAGGAGCAGCGCUAAGUAAUCGAGAAAAUGCCUCCUCUUGAAACGGAUAUAGAGAUGGAAACAAGAUAUAAGAAGGAUUGAGAAUCAUAUAAUACAGGAGCUUAAACACCUAUGCGCGAUGAUAAAGAGGGUAAUAUUAGAGCGCUUGGAAAAUACCAGGAAGUUGAGAGAGUUAACAGAAGGGCGCACGCUGGAUUGGCCACAAAAUCGAAUUACUGAAGUAAGUGCAAAACGACAAAUUGUCACAGAAUACAGAGAAAAGGGGAAAAGAAAUUAAGAGGAGAAAAAGAGAGAUCUAGAGGGCCGGUCCAGGAGAUACAAUCUAUGCAUAAUAGGAAUACCUGAAACUGAGGACAGAGCAAGUGGAGCUGAAACAAUAAAGGAUCUACUUGAAAAAAUUUUCCAGAAUUGAAGAACGAACUAGAUCUACAAAUGGAAAAGGCUCACAGGAUACCUUUAAAGUUUAAUGAAAAGAAAGCAGCAUCUAGACAUACCCGGGUGACGUUUUUGAAUUUCAAAGACGAAACAUUUUACAAGCAUCCAGUCAGAGAAAGCAGGUUACUUACAAAGGGGCAAAAGUCAGGCCGACCUCAGAUUUUUCUCCUGCAAUUCUAAAUGCCAGAAGACAGUGGAACAAUAUCUAGAGUGUUAAGGGAAAAUAAUUCUGAGCCAAGAAUUAUGUACUCUGCCAAGUUAUCAUUUCUUUACAAAGGAAACUGGAAGACAUUCUUAGAUAUACAGGGGUUAGGAAAGUAUAUCAACCAAGAACUUUCCCUGAAAAUUUUGCUGAAGGAUUUACUGCAGCUAACAGAGAACCUGAAUUAAAAUAAGAACAGGGAGGCAAUUGUAUGAAAGAACUGAUGGUAUGCAUUAAAACUAGUUACGGAGCAUUAAGUUUAAAUUGUUAUGUAUAGGGCAUUAAAACUAAAUACAAAAAUAGAAACAUAAGCUGGGUGUAAAAUUUCAGUUUACAUUUAAACUGGAAGGGCAUACCACAUGUUCAAUAUAUUGGACAAAUACUGUUUUAUUUUUAGCAUGUGGUAUUGUAGAUACAAAUACGCAUGUUCUUAAGCUAAACCUAAGUAAAAGGGCUUUGUCACUGUAGAUUUGACAAAUAACAUUCUAAAUGUCAAAUCUGACAAAAUUGGAAAACAAUACAGUUUUAUUUCCCUUAUUUUUAAGUAUAGCAGGAAAAAAAAUAACAAGUUUGUCCAUGUUACUACUGAUACUGUAAAGAAACUUCCAAAUCACUGGUUUGGGAGGGGGUGGAUACAUCCUCAUUUUCUGUACAUGAUGCAUGGGGAAAAACAGUAGUUACUGCAUCAUAUAGUUCCAAGUAAAUCAUAUAGUUCCAAGUAAAUUUGACAUGGAAAUAAGUGUUAACUACAAAAAUAGAAUAUAUACAUUCCAAUGUUUGGAAAAGAAGUGGUAAAAAGAAAAAUAGCAAAAAGACAUUAAAAUUAGCAAAAAGUAGAUUGACAGUACAGAUGACCUAUAAACUGGUUAAAUAGCCCUAUUACAAUUGAAAUUGGGUCAAAAAUCAAUCUCUAACCUGAGAUACAUUUGUAUAAAGCAAAUGAUCAAAGAGUUUAAAGAUAAUGGAAACUAUAAAUCAUAGAAAUAGCAACAUUUUUCUUAAAAUCUAAACAUAAGACAUUUUAUGUAAAACAUACAAUAUAGGAUGUAACAUUUAACAAACUAUAUGGUAAAUAAUAUGACAUUAAUACAUAAAAUAUAUGUUCCAGAUCUUGAUGUGGGUGAUAGUUUUACUUAUGUACAUCGAUAUACAUCUAUUUAAAAACAUGUACGUUUAAAUUGUUGCAUUUUAUGUAUUUAAAAUUUAUUGAGUAAUCCUUCUGUAUGUAUUAUUAAAGAGAAUAUAGCAAAAAAA
rnacentral:antisense_RNA from 1 species